rnacentral:lncRNA from 1 species
GGGGAACAAAAUGAAAGUUGAUGGAGAAUCCACCUGAGUUUCAUGCAAAAGUGGCAGUCAUCACAUGACAAAACCGACAAAAGUGAAGGUUUUUAGGAGCAUUGAGCAAUGGGGAAACAGUCUCAAAUGCUCGACAACUCAACAGCUAAAAUAGCAUUAUAAUUUUACAUCCCAUCACCCGAACUGCCAUCCGUGUUAAAAAGAAUAAAAACAUACCUCAGUCAGGCAAUGGGAAAAAGAGAUGAUUUUCAGAAACUAAAUUUUGUUCAAGGCUUCAAUUCUU